rnacentral:rRNA from 1 species
UAGAGUUUGAUCCUGGCUCAGGAUGAACGCUAGCGGCAGGCUUAAUACAUGCAAGUCGAGGGGCAGCAUGGUGUAGCAAUACACUGAUGGCGACCGGCAAACGGGUGCGGAACACGUACAGAACCUUCCUUCGAGCGGGGAAUAGCCCAGAGAAAUUUGGAUUAAUACCCCAUAGUAUAUUGAAGAGGCAUCUCUUUAAUAUUAAAGAUUUAUCACUUGAAGAUGGCUGUGCGGCUGAUUAGGUAGUUGGCGGGGUAAUGGCCCACCAAGCCUGCGAUCAGUAACUGGUGUGAGAGCACGACCAGUCACACGGGCACUGAGACACGGGCCCGACUCCUACGGGAGGCAGCAGUAAGGAAUAUUGGUCAAUGGACGAAAGUCUGAACCAGCCAUGCCGCGUGGAGGAUGAAGGUCCUCUGGAUUGUAAACUUCUUUUAUAUGGGACGAAAAAAGGGUUUUCUAACUCGUCUGACGGUACCAUAUGAAUAAGCACCGGCUAACUCCGUGCCAGCAGCCGCGGUAAU